UACGUAGGGACCAAGCGUUGUUCGGAUUUACUGGGCGUAAAGGGCGCGUAGGCGGCCACCGCAAGUCGACUGUGAAAUCUCCGGGCUUAACCCGGAAAGGUCAGCCGAUACUGCGGGGCUAGAGUGCAGAAGGGGCAACUGGAAUUCUCGGCGUAGCGGUGAAAUGCGUAAAUAUCGAGAGGAACACCUGCGGCGAAGGCGGGUUGCCGGGCUGACACUGACGCUGAUGCGCGAAAGCUAGGGGAGCGAACGGG
rnacentral:rRNA from 1 species